UGUGUUGAUGACAGAUUUCCAGUCAACUCCAUCCUGGCCAGAAUAUGUCGUCUAUUUCUGGCUUUUCUCCUUAGUGUGUGAAGAGGCCCGUCAGCUUUUUUGUGAUCCUGAUGGGUUUGGCUUGGUCAAAAUGGCUUCUUUAUAUUUCAGUGAUUUCUGGAAUAAACUGGAUGCAUGUGCCAUUCUGAUCUUUAUAGUUGGAUUGGUCUGUAGAUGGUUCCCAGCAACUUUGUACCCUGGAAGAAUUGUACUAUCCCUAGCUUUCAUUAUUUUCUGCCUGCGUCUAUUGCACAUAUUCACGAUCAGUACAACUCUUGGGCCCAAGAUUAUUAUAGUGAAG